rnacentral:rRNA from 1 species
GUAGGUCACAAGCGUUGUCCGGAAUUACUGGGUGUAAAGGGAGCGCAGGCGGGAAGACAAGUUGGAAGUGAAAUCUAUGGGCUCAACCCAUAAACUGCUUUCAAAACUGUUUUUCUUGAGUAGUGCAGAGGUAGGCGGAAUUCCCGGUGUAGCGGUGGAAUGCGUAGAUAUCGGGAGGAAUACCAGUGGCGAAGGCGGCCUACUGGGCACCAACUGACGCUGAGGCUCGAAAGUGUGGGUAGCAAACAGGAUUAGAUACCCUGGUAGUCCACACCGUAAACGAUGAUUACUAGGUGUUGGAGGAUUGACCCCUUCAGUGCCGCAGUUAACACAAUAAGUAAUCCACCUGGGGAGUACGACCGCAAGGUG